AUCUCGCCUGUAAACUUGUCGAAAUGUUUUCUCGCUAACCGGGAUAACUUUUACCCAUAUGAACAGGCCCUUAGUUUCUGUAUUUCUGCGUGUUUGUUUAUUUCAGAGAUGAAAACAUCUACUGAUCCGCAAAAGAUUUCUCAAGAAAUACUGUAUUUCCAAGUUCAUAAGCAAGCUUUUGGGAGGUUUGGUUUGAAUUUGAGGUUAACCUAGGGUUAAGCUAAUCGGCUUUCGAAAAACCGACUCCAGAUCUGCAAACAAGUUGUAACAAGGUUGUUGUGAAGCCGAUAUCAGGAUGUGUUCGCACUACUUGUUCCCA